GUGAGCCGGUGGGCGGCUUCCGAGCCCGAAAGGGCUUGAGGAAACUCCACCCACCAGGAAGGCCUGCGACGCCGCGAGGCGUAGGGCGAGAGCCCUGGCAACGGACAGAAACGAGACCUCCGCCCGCAUGCGAUGACUCGCCUGAAGCGUCGAGGGCGCGGGCGGAUCGGUUGAGACGACCGCCCCUGCAGGGUGAAAGGGCAAAUAGCGUCGAUGAGCGCCUUCCCGAGACGCGGGUAGCCCCCUCAGCCGAAUGCCGCCUAAAACAGAAGGUGGGUUACGGCCGGCACAC
rnacentral:RNase_P_RNA from 1 species